rnacentral:rRNA from 1 species
AAGUGUCAAGCAGGCAGAUCCCUUUUCUUCANCGAAUACAUUAGCAUGGGNUAAUGGANUAAGACCCUGUUCCUCCUAUUUUCAGUUGGUUUUGGCAGCGCGAGGACUAGGGUAAUGAUUAAUAGGGAUAGUUGGGGGCAUAAUAUUUAAUUGUCAGAGGUGAAAUUCUUGGAUUUAUGAAAGAUUAACUUCUGCGAAAGCAUCUGCCAAGGGAUGUUUUCAUUAAUCAAGAACGAAAGUUAGGGGAUCGAAGACGAUCAGAUACCGUCGUAGUCUUAACCAUAAACGAUGCCGACCANCGAUUAGGAGACGUUGAAUACAAAACACCACCAUCGGCGCGGUCGUCCCUGGCUCGUCGUCUCACGACGGCGGGCGGGGGCGGUUUAGCCCGAUGGCACC